rnacentral:rRNA from 1 species
GUUGCCACUAGGAUUGCAAAUGGAGGAAGGACGGGAGAGGCCGGGGAGGUGUGGGGAUUGGGACGAGGAAGGAAAGACCGUGGGAGCGGUGGGUGUGCGGAGGACGGAAAGGAGUGGAUCUGGGAGAAGGAAGAAGAUGGUGGGGGCGGCGGUGGAGGGAGAAUGAGAUGGGGGCGGGGAGAGGCUUAGGGUUAGGUUUUAUACGAGGAAUGGGUUAGGCGGGCUCUAGCGGGCUUCGGCGGGCUUUGGGGCCGUACAAGGCCGGUU